GACUUGUAUAUAUAUGGUGGAGGGGGUGAUGGGGAUGGUGGUGGUGGGGACUUGUAAAUAUAUGGAGGUGGUGGAGAUGGGGAUGGUGGUGGUGGUGACUUGUAGACAUAUGGAGGAGGAGGUGAAGGGGAUGGAGGUGGUGGUGACUUGUAAACAUAAGGUGGGGGAGGUGAGGGUGAUGGUGGAGGAGGAGACUUGUAGACAUAUGGAGGUGGUGGUGAUGGAGAGGGUGGUGGUGGACUCUUAUAGACAUAUGGUGGGGGAGGUGAAGGAGAUGGAGGAGGUGGUGACUUGUAGACAUAUGGAGGAGGAG
rnacentral:lncRNA from 1 species